GAUCCACUGCUUCCAGCCGGAUGGCCCUUGGACCUUGGGCUCCUCGUCUGUAAAAUGAGCGUGAUCAGAGCAGCAGCCUCGGAAGGUUGGGGAGGAUCCGCUGAGAUCAGGCAUGUGAACCACUCAGCCGGCUCUGGCCUGCGGGGCGUGCGUGCUAUUCCAGCCCUGCACCCCCACUAAGCAGCUGUGUGACCUUGGGGGGCUGAGACACUAACACAGGCUACAACGUGGACAGAGCCAGGCACAGAAAGUCGCACGCUGCAUGACGACGUCUCCUGCAGGAAGACCAGCAGGCGAAUCUACUGGAGGAGAGGAGAAAAGAAACCAAGCAACCCACGGUUGGCGCGCACCGUGACCAGUGAUCUCUGCGUGCCACAGAAGCAUCUCCGAUCUGGUGGUGCAGAGGUGACGGUAAGGGGCACCAGGACAUGGACUUCAGUAACGGGGUUCCAGAAUGAGUGUCUGCUGCCCUUGGAUCAGCCCUUCUGAUCCCGUCAAAGACAAAGUCUUGGCUGGGUGCUCGGAGGCCCCUCACACUAGCUGGUGCAGAGAGAGGGUGGGCCUUGGGCCAUGUGAUCAUGUGGAGGGGCACCUGGGUGGCUCAGUCAGGUGAGCGUCCAACUCUUGAUU